AGAUGUGAGGGUGACCUGGCUGUGACAUCUGUCACACCACAGAACACCAGGGUUGAUUUGGCUGCUCUGGCUGGCUAGGUGGGUGUCCCCUUCCUCCCUCACAGCUCUAUGUGUGACCUUGUCCAGUAGAGGAGGAUGGUUCUUUGAUCAAGGAUAAAGGAGUAGCUGCACUCCCCUUGAAGGGUGUUCCUGCCCUUCGAUGCUCAUGAACUCUCUCACCCACUGA
rnacentral:snRNA from 1 species